rnacentral:rRNA from 1 species
UACGUAGGUGGCAAGCGUUAUCCGGGAAUUAUUGGGCGUAAAGCGCGCGCAGGCGGUUUUCUUAAGUCUGAUGUGAAAGCCCACGGCUCAACCGUGGAGGGUCAUUGGAAACUGGGGAACUUGAGUGCAGAAGAGAAAAGCGGAAUUCCACGUGUAGCGGAUGAAAUGCGUAGAGAUGUGGAGGAACACCAGUGGCGAAGGCGGCUUUUUGGUCUGUAACUGAACGCUGAGGCGCGAAAAGCGUGGGGAGCAAACAGG